UCUUUGCAAUGCUUUAAUUUGCCAAGCCAUAUUCCUUCAGUUUUAGUUCUAUUAAGUUUAAGGCCAGAAAGGUUACCAAAUGUUUCAAUUAAAUUUAAUGCAAUUGUAAUGUCCUGUUUAGAAUGUAGGAACAGAGUGGUAUCGUCUGCUAGUUGACAUAUUUUUAGUGUAUUGGUGCUGCUGUCUAGCUUAAUUUCUAAUCCUUUAAUAUUUCUAUUUUCUCUAAUUUUUAUAGCCAUUAUUUCUACAGCAAGAACAAAAAGUAACGAAGAUAGCGGACAGCCUUGUUU
rnacentral:lncRNA from 1 species